AGAACUGAAAUGCCAACGGUAAUAGAAAGAGCCAUGUUUUAAUUCUGGAAAUUAUUUGCCUUUUUUUUUUUUUUUUGGUCUUAGUUAAGGUGCCAAAUUAUUCAGACAGAACACAAUGACUUGGCUAUUAAUGAUUCUGAAGAUAAUACUUGAGCGAAAAUUUGUUUUGAUAGGAAAAGAGUGAGAGAAUUGGAAAACAAAGCUGACAGAAUUCAUACUGAUGAACAUAUUUUUUAGUUUUCAAAGUUGGGCAUCUCAGCUACAUGGGAAAAUUUAGAGAAGGCAAUGAAUUGUGAGAUGGAAGAGAGGAACCUAGACAUUUUGUAGAAGUCACUCCAGCCCUCCGGUGUUCCACUUGAGGAAAACAGUCCCCGGUGAUUUCUUACUUUCACCAUGUCACAUCUGUAGCGUUAGUUCUGUUGAAACCUGAGUGUCUUAGUCCCCAAUCCAGUGUGGUUGGCCUUUCCAUGUGACCUAUUUCAUAAGUCAUCUUUUUAUUUGAAGACUGUCCAAACGAUAGUGUAACGUAUGCCUAUUAAAGUAGUCGAAACCCCAAA